GAUGAACGCUGGCGGCGUGCCUAAUACAUGCAAGUCGAGCGAACGGACGAGAAGCUUGCUUCUCUGAUGUUAGCGGCGGACGGGUGAGUAACACGUGGAUAACCUACCUAUAAGACUGGGAUAACUUCGGGAAACCGGAGCUAAUACCGGAUAAUAUAUUGAACCGCAUGGUUCAAAAGUUAAAGACGGUCUUGCUGUCACUUAUAGAUGGAUCCGCGCUGCAUUAGCUAUUUGGUAAGGUAACGGCUUACCAAGGCAACGAUGCAUAGCCGACCUGAGAGGGUGAUCGGCCACCCUGGAACUGAGACACGGUCCAGACUCCUACGGGAGGCAGCAGUAGGGAAUCUUCCGCAAUGGGCGAAAGCCUGACGGAGCAACGCCGCGUGAGUGAUGAAGGUCUUCGGAUCGUAAAACUCUGUUAUUAGGGAAGAACAUAUGUGUAAGUAACUGUGCACAUCUUGACGGUACCUAAUCAGAAAGCCACGGCUAACUACGUG
rnacentral:rRNA from 1 species